UACGAGGGGUCCUAGCGUUGUUCGGAAUCACUGGGCGUAAAGCGUAUGUAGGCGGACUUUUAAGUCAGGUGUGAAAUCCCAUGGCUCAACCAUGGAAUUGCAUUUGAAACUGGAAGCCUUGAGUGUGGGAGAGAUCGGUAGAAUACCUGGUGUAGUGGUGAAAUACGUAGAUAUCAGGUGGAAUACCGGUGGCGAAGGCGGCCAAUUGGCCCAACACUGACGCUGAGAUACGAAAGCGUGGGGAUCAAACAGG
rnacentral:rRNA from 1 species